ACCACAGUUACUUAACCAGCCACACUUGCUAGAGUCAGUCAGUUUGCUUGUCUCCUCUUGUGUGCAGGCACAGACUUUAAUGGUUGUAUUUGAUGUAGUUUCCCUGUGCAAAUAUGAUAAUCUGAGUAUUUAUCUGGGUCGAUGUCUGGAGAGCUGUAUGGUGCAGAGCAGCAGCUGAUUAGCAGAGCCCCUAGAAAAUACAGCCCAACAUUGAUGCAGGGACCGACCAGCCAUGAACCAGUGCCCAGCAACAGCACAGCAGUCCUUGGUGUAAUGGUUUUGGCUUCGCUACACGCAGGGAAGAGAAGCUGAGCACACCCAGCCACAGAUGUCCUAUUCUUCCCUAUCCAACUGAUUCUUAACUCUCCUGGCUUUGGCCAUGUUUUAGCCUUAUUUAUUUAUUACAAGCAAUCAAUUAAAACAAUGUGUUUUGUUUUGUUUUUAACU